GAUGAACGCUGGCGGCGUGCCUAAUACAUGCAAGUCGAGCGAACAGACGAGGAGCUUGCUCCUCUGACGUUAGCGGCGGACGGGUGAGUAACACGUGGAUAACCUACCUAUAAGACUGGGAUAACUUCGGGAAACCGGAGCUAAUACCGGAUAAUAUAUUGAACCGCAUGGUUCAAUAGUGAAAGACGGUUUUGCUGUCACUUAUAGAUGGAUCCGCGCCGCAUUAGCUAGUUGGUAAGGUAACGGCUUACCAAGGCAACGAUGCGUAGCCGACCUGAGAGGGUGAUCGGCCACACGGGAACGGAGACACGGUCCAGACGCCUACGGGAGGCAGCAGUAGGGAAUCUUCCGCAAUGGGCGAAAGCCUGACGGAGCAACGCCGCGUGAGUGAUGAAGGUCUUCGGAUCGUAAAACUCUGUUAUUAGGGAAGAACAAAUGUGUAAGUAACUAUGCACGUCUUGACGGUACCUAAUCAGAAAGCCACGGCUAACUACGUG
rnacentral:rRNA from 1 species